AUUUUAUGGAAAGCCAAAGGGGACCCCCGCUAAAAUACAUAUACUUAUAUAGUAAAUAUCGGGAUUUUCAUUUUCCGCGGAACUUUCACUUUCCGCGAAAAACCAAGGCCAGCAUAGCCAUAAAAUACUGCAUACAAAUCGAAAUCUAAAAAGCGCGGAACUUUCAUAUAUUUUCCGUCGGAACAAUUAUCUUUCAACCCUGUAGAGAAUGCGGGCUCAAAUAAUCGCGCGGAACCUUAAUAUUAUCUACUCUGUACAAAUAGUAGUGUAUAAAAUCGCGCGGACCUAAUCCACAAAGCGCGGAACACAAAUAUCUUCCGCGAAAAUUAAGCAUUGAAUUACUGUACAAAUCUCGGGUUGCUAUGUAAAUUGCGGGUUGCUAAUGUAAAAUCGCGCGGAAGAUUCAUUACUCCGCGCGAUUUUCAAUAGCAUUGAAUUACUGCACGAAAUUCGGGUUGCUAUGUGGUUACGCGAUAAAAUUUGAUUGGUUCCGACACCUAGAAAGAACCAAUCAAAACUCGCGUCUUAUCCAGCAUUCAUGCAGUCAUCAUGAUGACGGUUGUUUCACAUUAACACAAAACCUUUUAAGGGCGAAAGAGUGAUCAAUUUUGAUGACAUUAGCGAUGAGCUGUAGCAGUGUUCCCAACUUGAACAUCAUCUUCUGUGUACAUAUCUGAGGCAGAGCCAGCUUGCCCAUCUGACCUCUGUUGUGGACAACCGAGUAAGAGCCAGCUUGCAUGUCAUCUGUUGUGGACAUCCGUGUUAGAGCCAGCUUGCACGUCCUCUAUUGUGGACAUCAGUGUUAGUGCUAGCUUGCAUGUCAUCUGUUGUGAACAUCCGUGUAAGAGCCAGCUUGCACGUCAUCUCUUUUGGACAUCAGUGUUAGAGCCAGCUUACACAUCCUCUGUUGUGGACAUCCGUGUAAGUGCUAGCUUGCACGUAAUCUGUUGUGGACAUCUGUGUUAGAGCCAGCUUGCACGUCAUAUGUUUAGGACAUCAGUCAGAGAUAGCUUGCAUGUUAUAUACUUGUGGACAUUAGUCAGAGCCAGCAAGGACAAUCUCUGUUGUGGAUAUCUGUCUUAGAGCUUGCACGUCAUCGGUUGUUCACAUCCUUGUAAUAACCAGCUUGCACAUCAACUGAUGUGGAAAUCUGAGUCAGAGCCAGCUUGCACAUCAUCCGUUGUGGACAUCUCUUUAUGAUUCUACUCUUUGCUUAGAUUGACACUGUGACUUUAGUGUAAUAUGUUACAACCUUAAGCUAUUCCUAUUGUUGAAUAAAAAUAUUGUGUCAUUAAAAUAUAUUUUGUUGGAUAA